rnacentral:lncRNA from 1 species
CUUUAGUAAAAGUGAAUGGAAAUCUAUGAAAUUUUAACACAAGGUUUGUGACCACAAAAGGAAGGUUGGUAUUGAUUUUGGGAGUUUUGGUCCCAACAUUUUAGGAAUUAGGGGCCAAAAAGGGCCCAAAUAAGCAUUUUCUUGUUUUUCGCACUAUAACUUUAGUUUAAGUUCAUAGAAAUCUAUGAAAUUUUGACACAAGGUUUAUGACCAC